UACGAAGGGGGCUAGCGUUGCUCGGAAUCACUGGGCGUAAAGCGCACGUAGGCGGAUUGCUAAGUCAGGGGUGAAAUCCUGGAGCUCAACUCCAGAACUGCCCUUUGAUACUGGCGAUCUCGAGUCCGGGAGAGGUGAGUGGGACUGCGAGUGUAGAGGUGAAAUUCGUAGAUAUUCGCAAGAACACCAGUGGCGAAGGCGGCUCACUGGCCCGGUACUGACGCUGAGGUGCGAAAGCGUGGGGAGCGAACAGG
rnacentral:rRNA from 1 species